rnacentral:rRNA from 1 species
GAUGAACGCUGGCGGCGUGCCUAAUACAUGCAAGUCGAGCGAACGGACGAGAAGCUUGCUUCUCUGAUGUUAGCGGCGGACGGGUGAGUAACACGUGGAUAACCUACCUAUAAGACUGGGAUAACUUCGGGAAACCGGAGCUAAUACCGGAUAAUAUUUUGAACCGCAUGGUUCAAAAGUGAAAGACGGUCUUGCUGUCACUUAUAGAUGGAUCCGCGCUGCAUUAGCUAGUUGGUAAGGUAACGGCUUACCAAGGCAACGAUGCAUAGCCGACCUGAGAGGGUGAUCGGCCACACUGGAACUGAGACACGGUCCAGACUCCUACGGGAGGCAGCAGUAGGGAAUCUUCCGCAAUGGGCGAAAGCCUGACGGAGCAACGCCGCGUGAGUGAUGAAGGUCUUCGGAUCGUAAAACUCUGUUAUUAGGGAAGAACAUAUGUGUAAGUAACUGUGCACAUCUUGACGGUACCUAAUCAGAAAGCCACGGCUAACUACGUGCCAGCAGCCGCGGUAAUACGUAGGUGGCAAGCGUUAUCCGGAAUUAUUGGGCGUAAAGCGCGCGUAGGCGGUUUUUUAAGUCUGAUGUGAAAGCCCACGGCUCAACCGUGGAGGGUCAUUGGAAACUGGAAAACUUGAGUGCAGAAGAGGAAAGUGGAAUUCCAUGUGUAGCGGUGAAAUGCGCAGAGAUAUGGAGGAACACCAGUGGCGAAGGCGACUUUCUGGUCUGUAACUGACGCUGAUGUGCGAAAGCGUGGGGAUCAAACAGGAUUAGAUACCCUGGUAGUCCACGCCGUAAACGAUGAGUGCUAAGUGUUAGGGGGUUUCCGCCCCUUAGUGCUGCAGCUAACGCAUUAAGCACUCCGCCUGGGGAGUACGACCGCAAGGUUGAAACUCAAAGGAAUUGACGGGGACCCGCACAAGCGGUGGAGCAUGUGGUUUAAUUCGAAGCAACGCGAAGAACCUUACCAAAUCUUGACAUCCUUUGACAACUCUAGAGAUAGAGCCUUCCCCUUCGGGGGGGGCAAAGUGACAGGUGGUGCAUGGUUGUCGUCAGCUCGUGUCGUGAGAUGUUGGGUUAAGUCCCGCAACGAGCGCAGCCCUUAAGCUUAGUUGCCAUCAUUAAGUUGGGCACUCUAAGUUGACUGCCGGUGACAAACCGGAGGAAGGUGGGGAUGACGUCAAAUCAUCAUGCCCCUUAUGAUUUGGGCUACACACGUGCUACAAUGGACAAUACAAAGGGCAGCGAAACCGCGAGGUCAAGCAAAUCCCAUAAAGUUGUUCUCAGUUCGGAUUGUAGUCUGCAACUCGACUACAUGAAGCUGGAAUCGCUAGUAAUCGUAGAUCAGCAUGCUACGGUGAAUACGUUCCCGGGUCU